UCUCGGUACAAGAAGUGAUGCAUUUAAAGAGUUCAAGGUACCAGCGAUGCUUCCCUGCGACCCAACGAGGGGACCCGUCAGUUCACCGCGUGUUUGACCUCUGCCUGAAUUCUGCCGCCCUUGUAGAAGUCAAUGUGUGGUCUGGAGACCACCUAUUUGAGAAUCACCUGGAGCCUCACCCUGCAGAUCCUGAUUUCUGAGCCUGGAGAGGUUGCCCUUAAAGAAGGCUUCUAGAUGAUUCUGCACAUUGAAGUCUGAGCAUCACUGUCCUAGUGCCUGCCAUCCUGUCUGGUGCAUGCACAGCCCUGAUAGAUGACUGGGCAGAAAGCGUCUGUUCAUUGACUGUUUGUUUUUUUUAAUGUAUGUGUUUAUGGAGAGCCUGACGCGGGGCUGGAACCCACAGACCGCGAGAUCAUGACCUGAGCCGAAGUCGGACGCUCAACCAACUGAGCCACCCAGGCACCCCUUGACUCUUUUUCAAUUCUGUUAUUAUUUUUUAAAGCCACUGGCUCUGUGUGUUACAAAAAGUCACGAUUUCAGCCUUUAAUCCUGCGAGGGGACUUGGCAAAAUUUACCACCGAUCCAGGCGCAGUGCUGCUGGCUUCCUCCAGAGAAACGCACCCCCA
rnacentral:lncRNA from 1 species